UGGGGAAUUUUGGACAAUGGGCGCAAGCCUGAUCCAGCAAUGCCGCGUGCAGGAUGAAGGCCUUCGGGUUGUAAACUGCUUUUGUACGGAACGAAACGGCUCUGUCUAAUACAUGGGGCUAAUGACGGUACCGUAAGAAUAAGCACCGGCUAACUACGUGCCAGCAGCCGCGGUAAUACGUAGGGUGCGAGCGUUAAUCGGAAUUACUGGGCGUAAAGCGUGCGCAGGCGGUCUUGUAAGACAGUCGUGAAAGCCCCGGGCUUAACCUGGGACCUGCAUUUGUGACUGCAUAGCUAGAGUACGGCAGAGGGGGAUGGAAUUCCGCGUGUAGCAGUGAAAUGCGUAGCUAUGCGGAGGAACACCGAUGGCGAAGGCAAUCCCCUGGGCCUGUACUGACGCUCAUGCACGAAAGCGUGGGGAGCAAACA
rnacentral:rRNA from 1 species